ensembl:snRNA U6 U6 spliceosomal RNA
GCGCUUGCUUCAAUAGCACAUAUAUUAAAGUUGAAACAAUACAAAGAUUCACUUGGCCAAUGCACAAAGAUGACACGCAAAUUCAUGAAGUGUUCCAUUUUAAA